rfam:Exophiala oligosperma strain CBS 72588 unplaced genomic scaffold supercont1.1, whole genome shotgun sequence.
GCCUCUUUAGCCCAGUUGGUAGAGCGCGACACUAGUAUUUCACCAAAAAAUGACAAGUAUAUGUCGAGGUCACUGGUUCGAAUCCAGUAGGAGGCA